rnacentral:rRNA from 1 species
ACAUUUUUUUAAGAUUAUAUUUAAAGUAAAUUCUGCCCUAUGAUUAUUUAAAUGGCUGCAGUAUACUGACUGUGCAAAGGUAGCAUAAUAAUUAGUCUCUUAAUUAGGGACUUGUAUGAAUGAAUUAAUGAGAAAUUUAUUUUAUUUAUUUUAUUGUUAAAAUUUAAUAUUUUAGUUAAAAAGCUUAAUUAAUUUAUUGGGACGAUAAGACCCUAUAGAACUUAUAAUUUAAUUAUUUUUUAAUAUAUUUAGAUUAUUUUAUAUUUAAAAUUAUUAUUUUUUUUACUGGGGUGGUAAAUAAAUUUUAAACUUUAUUUUUUCUCUUCAUUUAUUUAUGAUUAUUUGAUCCUUUUGAUUAUAAGAUAAAGUUACCUUAGGGAUAACAGCGUAAUUUUAAUGGUAAGUUCUUAUUUAUAUUAAAGUUUGCGACCUCGAUGUUGAAUUAAGAUAAAAUUAAGGGGUAGGUUUUUUAAAUUUAAGUCUGUUCGACUUUUAAAUUCUUACAUGAUCUG